GCUCUGAUAGCUCUGUCGGUAGAGCGUUAUGUUUGAAGUUAGGGGUCUAGGGUUCAUAUCCCUGUUCGAGCG